GUAUAGUCUCGAAUGCAGG
rnacentral:snRNA from 1 species